GCCUGCAUCUGCUAUGGAUCCGCGGUCAAAUGGCCACCCCUCAUCACUGUCAAGCUCCCUAAAACACUUCUGCGAGCAGGCCUUUGUAAUCGACCUGGCCCGGUUGUCCCGGAAGGAUAUUAACCUCAUCCCGUUGGUAGAGUAUGCCUGGUCGUUCUUUAAAAGUGCUUUCCUCACCAUCUUAAAUAAGCAUGCCAUUUUUAAAAAAACAUGUAGAACUAAGAACAGAUAUAGUCCUUGGUUCACUCCAGACCUGACUGCCCUCGACCAGCACAAAAACAUCCUGUGUCGGACUGCGACAGCAUCGAAUAGUCCCUGCGAUAUGCAACUUUUCAAGGAAGUCAGGAACCAAUACACGCAGUCAGUCAGGAAAGCAAAGGCUAGCUUUUUCAAACAGAAAUUUGCAUGCGGGUAAUUCCCUGAUCCACCUCUACACAGACAACACCAUUCUGUGUACAUCUGGCCCUUCUUUGGACACUUUGUUAACAAACCUCCAAACAAGAUUCAAUGCCAUACAACAGUCCUGCCGUGGCCUCCAACUGUUCUUAAACGCUAGUAAAUCUAACUGCAUUGUAUCAUUUGAUUUACACAACACUUUGAAGAAGCAAAAUAUUUUUUAUUGUUAAACAAACAAGAAAUAAGACAAAAAAACUGAAAGCUUAAGCAUGCAUGCGUGCAUCAAUACUUUGUAGAGCCACCUUUUGCAGCAAUUACAGCUGCAAGUCUCUUGGGGUAUGUCUCUAUAAGCUUGACACGCCUAGCCACUGGGAUUUUUGCCCAUUCUUCAAGACAAAACUGCUCGAGCUCCUUCAAGUUGGAUGGGUUCCAAUGGUGUACAGAAAUCUUUGUCAUACCACAGAUUCUCAAUUGGAAUGAGGUCUGGGCUUUGACUAGGCCAUUAAAAUACAUUUAAAUCUUCCCCUUAAACCAUUUGAGUGAUGCUUUAGCAGUAUGCUUAGGGUCAUUUUCCUGCUGGAAGGUGAACCUCUGUCCCAGUUUCAAAUCUCUGGAAGACUGAAACAGGUUUCCCUCAAGAAUUUCCCUGUAUUUAGCGCCAUCCAUCAUUCGUUCAAUUCUGACCAGUUUUGCAGUCCCUGCCGAUGAAAAACAUCCCCACAGCAUGAUGCUGCCAUCACCAUGCUUCACUGGGGAUGGUGUUCUCGGGGUGAUGCGAGGGUGAUGACCACUCUUCCCUAAAGCCCAGUUCUGUGGAGUGUACGGCUUAACGUGGUCCUAUGGACAGAUACUCCAAUCUCCGCUGUGGAGCUUUGCAGCUCCUUCAGGGUUAUCUUUGGUCUCUUUGUUGCCUCUCUGAUUAAUCCCCUCCUUGCCUGGUCCGUGAGUUUUGGUGGGCGGCCCUCUCUUGGCAGGUUUGUUGUAGUGCUAUAUUCUAUCUUUUUUUAUAAUGGAUUUAAUGGUGCUCCGUGGGAUGUUCAAAGUUUCAGAUAUGUUUUAAUAACCCAACCCUGAUCUGUACUUCUCCACAACUUUGUCCCUGACCUGUUUGGAGAGAUUAUUGGUCUUCAUGGUGCCGCUUGCUUGGUGGUGCCCUUUGAUUAGUGGUGUUGCAGACUCUGGGGCCUUUCAGAACAGGUAUAUAUAUACUGAGAUCAUGUGACACUUAGAUUGCACACAGGUGGACAUUAUUUAACUAAUUAUGUGACUUCUGAAGGUAUUUGGUUGCAUCAGAUCUUAUUUAGGGGCUUCAUAGCAAAAGGGGUGAAUACAUAUGCUUGCACCACUUUUCCAUUAAUUAAUUUUUUGCAUUUUUUGAAACAAGUUACAUUUUCAUUUCACUUCACCAAUUUGGACUAUUUUGUGUAUGUUCAUUUCAUGAAAUCCAUAUAAAUAUCUAUUUCAAUUACAUGUUGUAAUGCAACAAAAUAGUUAAAACGCCAAGGGGAAUGAAUACUUUUGCAAGGCACUGUAAAUAGCCUCUAAAAUAUAGGUGAACAGAUCAUAAAUGUCCCAAAAAUAUAUAUUGGAAAGCUUUGAGUGCUAUAAUAUGAUACGAUAUCCAGUGCUUGACAUGGAUUUUUGGUGCCACUACUGUUUAUGUUUAGGUGCAGGAGCUCCACAAUACCUUUGAGCUAAUAUUCUAGAAGAGGAACAGGAGUUCAAGCAGUAGAAAAUUUGAGGUGCCGGUACUCAGCUCCGGUGAGCUCCUGCUCAAGUCAAGCACUGAAAAUAUCAGUACUUGUUUUAUUUACAACUUGUCUAUCAUCAACUGAUUUCAGCCAGUGUUCCUCUAAAACUGUCUAGCUAGCUAGUUAACAAACAUACAGUGCAGAUCAAUAUUUUAAAUUAAUUAUUUUACACAAUAUCUUAUCACAGGACUGACAACCUGGUUGACCAACUCCUUGACCUAAAUGGCUGAUCUUUAUCCCAUCAUAAGAUGGUUCAUGUCUAUUCUUGUAUUCUAAUUCCUAAUUCUAUGUCCCUCUACCUCCUCUUCCUCCAUCUGUAAGACCCUGACCACCCAGAGCACAGCUUCUGUGGCCCUGCUAGCCCCCUCUAGAUCUCCACACUUCACCCCUCAAGUCAACCCUCCUCCAUCCUGUCCAUCCUCUCCCACUACAGAAACCUGUAGCCAUGCCCGCUACGAUUCCAAUGAAUUAUCAGCUAAGGAAGAAGCGUUGCCUCCCACAGAGAGACCAACUAUCACCCAAGACAUGGCUAUCACUCAGAGAGCGAAAGUUAAAAAGGCCUGAGGAGGUGGCUCCAGCCCCAGCCCCAACCUCACCUGAACCAGCCUCACCUCUAUCUCCCCCACCCUCACCUAUGUUAGUUAGCCAAAGCCUCAUCUAUGAUGUCGGCCCCAUCUUGUCUUGGGUCACCUGUGUUGGCUCGAUCCCCACCUGUGUCUGCGCUUGUCCCCUCUGAACCUCCGGAGCAGCCAGAUGAGGAAUCCACCACUCCCCCUGAUCUCCCUUCCCCAUCGUACAUAUUUAUAGGUCAGAGGUCAAGUGCCUGUCAAAAUGGAUGGGAUGUUGGCGAUCAAGUUGAAACAAGGCGGAAACAAAGGUUUGGACAACUGGGAUACUGUCUAUGGAGUACUGGAGAGGGAGACACAAAGACAGGGUUGCUGUUCAAAGACAAGGAUGCAGCUACAGGGAUAUCUUACAAUUUAAGUGAAUGUAUUAGCUAUCUUUUCAGGUUUAGGAAUUAGGUACAGUAUGUUACUUGUUGGUGCCCUUUUGCGGAGGUUUACCUGAUGGCCACCGAUCAAUAUAGUAUUUAAGGAUGACCCAGAUUACAGGAGAAAUGACCAUAUCUUCAAACUAAUGUGAGUCCUUUACAUUACUAAAAGAUCAUUUAUGCUUAAAGUGGCAAUCUAAGUACUGUAGCAUUGAUGCUAUGUUAGAAGUUUGAGGACAUUGUAAUAAAGUAUACAGAGACUGAUGCACCUCUGACAAAAUGUCUGUGACUGUCUGUUUUGCUGCCUGUGAAUGUUCUUCAGUCUGGAUGAUGGCAGUCACUACCUGCCUCCA
ensembl:lncRNA